rnacentral:rRNA from 1 species
UAGGGAGCGAGCGUUAUCCGGAUUUAUUGGGCGUAAAGCGUGCGUAGGCGGUUUGUUAAGUCUGAAAUUAAAGCCUGAGGCUCAACCUCAGUUCGUUUCAGAAACUGGCAGACUUGAGUAUGGUAGAGGUAAAUGGAAUUUCUAGUGUAGCGGUAAAAUGCGUAGAUAUUAGAAGGAACACCAGUGGCGAAGGCGAUUUACUGGGCCAUUACUGACGCUGAGGCACGAAAGCGUGGGGAGCA